UACAGAGGUCUCAAGCGUUGUUCGGAUUCAUUGGGCGUAAAGGGUGCGUAGGUGGCGCGCUAAGUCAGGUGUGAAAUCUCGGAGCUUAACUCCGAAACUGCAUUUGAUACUGGUGUGCUUGAGGACUGGAGAGGAGACUGGAAUUCACGGUGUAGCAGUGAAAUGCGUAGAUAUGCGGAGGAACACCGAUGGCGAAGGCAAUCCCCUGGGCCUGCACUGACGCUCAUGCACGAAAGCGUGGGGAGCAAACAGG
rnacentral:rRNA from 1 species